AUUGAACGCUGGCGGCGUGCCUAACACAUGCAAGUCGAGCGGUAACAGGUGUAGCAAUACAUGCUGACGAGCGGCGGACGGGUGAGUAACGCUUGGGAAUCUGCCUAUUAGUGGGGGACAACCCGGGGAAACUCGGGCUAAUACCGCAUACGCUCUACGGAGGAAAGCCGGGGACCGCAAGGCCUGGCGCUAAUAGAUGAGCCCAAGUCGGAUUAGCUAGUUGGUAGGGUAAUGGCCUACCAAGGCGACGAUCCGUAACUGGUCUGAGAGGACGACCAGUCACACCGGAACUGAGACACGGUCCGGACUCCUACGGGAGGCAGCAGUGGGGAAUAUUGGACAAUGGGCGAAAGCCUGAUCCAGCGACGCCGCGUGGGUGAAGAAGGCCUGCGGGUUGUAAAGCCCUUUCAGUGGGGAAGAAAAGCCUCGACCUAACACGUCGGGGUCUUGACGUAACCCAUAGAAGAAGCACCGGCUAACUCUGUGCCAGCAGCCGCCGCAGUAAG
rnacentral:rRNA from 1 species